UGUGCCCUACGGGGCGCAGCAGUGAGGAAUAUUGGUCAAUGGGCGGGAGCCUGAACCAGCCAAGUCGCGUGAGGGAAGAAGGUACUGAGUAUUGUAAACCUCUUUUGCCAGGGGACAAAGGCGGCCACGGGUGGCCGUAAGAGGGUACCUGGAGAAAAAGCAUCGGCUAACUCCGUGCCAGCAGCCGCGGUAAUACGGAGGAUGCGAGCGUUAUCCGGAUUUAUUGGGUUUAAAGGGUGCGCAGGCGGUCUGUUAAGUCAGCGGUCAAAGCCCGGGGCUCAACCCCGGCCCGCCGUUGAAACUGG
rnacentral:rRNA from 1 species